rnacentral:rRNA from 1 species
AUGUGCGGGCGCGGGGCGUGUCGGCGCGGUGGAGGGCGUCUGGCGGCGGCGUCGCGGACGUGUGGCUCGGCGCGGUGGGCUGCGUGGUGGCGGUGCCUGUCGCGGCCGUGGCGGCCCGAUUUGGUUUGGUCCGGGCCCGAUUCGGGCGGCGGUGGCGACGGAUGGCUCGGUGGCCGCCGGUGGCUUCUCCUCCCGCUCCUGGAGGUCUCCCUCCUGCCCCAUGGGUGGCUGGGGUGGCUGCUGCGCGGCCGCAGGGCGGGUGGCAGCGCGUCCGACUCAGAUCUGGCGGUGGGAUUUGGGUGGACGGUGCGGGUGGGGCUGCGGCCUGGUGUAGCCGUGGCUCCGGCCGUAGGCGGUGGCGCGUGGAGGUCCGGCUCAUGGUGGUGGUCUCCCGAGGGUGCGGCGGUUACAUGGUGGUUUGGCGGAUCUGCCCGCAGCGACGGCCAGCUAUCUCCGGCGUCGGCUCGUUUGCGGUCGGACCGCUUCGACCGUAGCUCCAUCUACUCGUCGCCCGGGCGUUACUUCGGUCCAGUGGCUGGCCCUCUCCCAGCUGCGGUCCUUCGCUCGUCUCAUGCCCGGAGCUGCAGGAUGGAGCUCGUCUCGCGCCCGGCAGCAGGACGGAGCUCGUCUCGCGCCCGGCAACAGGACAAAGCUCGUCUCGCGCCCGGCAGCUGGACGGAGCUCGUCUCGCGCCCGACAUCAGGACUGAGCUCGUCUCGCGCUCGGGGCUGCAGGACGGGCGAUGGAGGCCAGUUUUGGCCGGCCUAUUGGGUCUCGGCGCUGGGGUUCGUCCAGGGGUGCGAAAGGCGGGACCUUUCCACUCGUCUCUUCGGUUGGGGUAGCGGCGGGUCACGGGUGAGGUGGUGUCGAGGUCUUGGAUGCUGGGGUGGCGGCCCUGGUGGUGGUGGUUGUGCGGUGCUCUUGGACAAAGCCCGUGCCUUGGUGCUGCCCGGUCAUCAUGGUCGUGUGGGCGGCGUGGUUGCCGGGGUGUGGCGUUCGGUGGUGGUGAUUGUGGGCCGAGGUGAAAACCUGCUCUAUCUUCGGACGGACCGGCGGCGGCGAAGAUCGUUCCCUUCUUGA